CAGUCGCCGCGGUAAUACAGAGGGUGCAAGCGUUAAUCGGAAUUACUGGGCGUAAAGCGCGCGUAGGUGGUUUGUUAAGUUGGAUGUGAAAUCCCCGGGCUCAACCUGGGAACUGCAUUCAAAACCGACUGACUAGAGUAUGGUAGAGGGUGGUGGAAUUUCCUGUGUAGCGGUGAAAUGCGUAGAUAUAGGAAGGAACACCAGUGGCGAAGGCGACCACCUGGACUAAUACUGACACUGAGGUGCGAAAGCGUGGGGAGCAAACAGGAUUAGAUACCCCUGUAGUCCCUGUCUCUUAUAC
rnacentral:rRNA from 1 species